rnacentral:lncRNA from 1 species
CACCAGAAAUUUCAUUUAUUCCUAUAAUAAUCUUUCUGGGUAGAAAGGCUGCUAAAUUGCAAAGUUACAGUAACAGAUAUAGAUGUAAUAUUCCUAAUGAAGCUUUCAAAUUUAUUACUGCAAAAUCAUUUUAAAUGGCCUGAUUAGCUGUUUAACAUUCCCUCCUUAGCAGCAACUGAUAUAACAAUACCCAGACACAAAAUAGGAAGCAAUAGUCAUAUAUAAAACCAAAAAAAACCUUAAUUAAUUUGACAUAAUCUACUUUGUUAGCAAAAAAAUGAGCAAGAGAAAAUACCUCAAGGUGGCUGAGGAAGGAAGUGCGGCGAAGCUGAGACAAUUGAAUCCUGAACAAACAAUAUUUAAAGCAACUCUUGGGUUCUUCUUCCUUGUUUGGGCCCCAAUUGGUAAUUCCUUCCGGGCUUCCGGCAAUACAAAAUUGGUGCAUCGUCAGAAUUAAUUACAUUUGCUAGCCAAAAUAUANNNNNNNNNNNNNNNNNNNNNNNNNNUUUUAAAAUUGGCUAAAUAUACAUUUCUCAAUUCCUCUAUAUCUAUAUUUUGACCCCAUUUAGAAAAAAUUAGGAAAAUAUCUUGUGUCAAAAUUUUAAAGCACUCUGGUUAAAAUUUUAAUGCAUAAGUGUCGGAAUUUUAAAGUACCAGGAAUCUGACGAUCAUCAGAAUUUUCAACCACAGUGUGAAAAUUUUUGGUGAUUGGCCAGAAUUUUG